GCUUGACUGCGAGCGUGACGGCGCGAGCAGGUGCGAAAGCAGGUCAUAGUGAUCCGGUGGUUCUGAAUGGAAGGGCCAUCGCUCAACGGAUAAAAGGUACUCCGGGGAUAACAGGCUGAUACCGCCCAAGAGUUCAUAUCGACGGCGGUGUUUGGCACCUCGAUGUCGGCUCAUCACAUCCUGGGGCUGAAGUAGGUCCCAAGGGUAUGGCUGUUCGCCAUUUAAAGUGGUACGCGAGCUGGGUUUAGAACGUCGUGAGACAGUUCGGUCCCUAUCUGCCGUGGGCGCUGGAGAACUGAGGGGGGCUGCUCCUAGUACGAGAGGACCGGAGUGGACGCAUCACUGGUGUUCGGGUUGUCAUGCCAAU
rnacentral:rRNA from 1 species